rnacentral:rRNA from 1 species
UACGUAGGGCGCAAGCGUUGUCCGGAAUCAUUGGGCGUAAAGAGCUCGUAGGCGGUCUGUUGCGUCCGCUGUGAAAACUCGGGGCUUAACCCCGAGCCUGCAGUGGAUACGGGCAGGCUAGAGUUCGGUAGGGGAGACUGGAAUUCCUGGUGUAGCGGUGAAAUGCGCAGAUAUCAGGAGGAACACCGAUGGCGAAGGCAGGUCUCUGGGCCGAUACUGACGCUGAGGAGCGAAAGCGUGGGGAGCGAACAGG